rnacentral:rRNA from 1 species
UCCUACGGGAGGCAGCAGUAGGGAAUCUUCCGCAAUGGACGAAAGUCUGACGGAGCAACGCCGCGUGAGUGAUGAAGGUUUUCGGAUCGUAAAGCUCUGUUGUUAGGGAAGAACAAGUGCGAGAGUAACUGCUCGCACCUUGACGGUACCUAACCAGAAAGCCACGGCUAACUACGUGCCAGCAGCCGCGGUAAUACGUAGGUGGCAAGCGUUAUCCGGAAUUAUUGGGCGUAAAGCGCUCGCAGGCGGUCUUUUAAGUCUGAUGUGAAAGCCCACGGCUUAACCGUGGAGGGUCAUUGGAAACUGGAGGACUUGAGUACAGAAGAGGAGAGUGGAAUUCCACGUGUAGCGGUGAAAUGCGUAGAGAUGUGGAGGAACACCAGUGGCGAAGGCGACUCUCUGGUCUGUACUGACGCUGAGGAGCGAAAGCGUGGGUAGCGAACAGGAUUAGAUACCCUGGUAGUCCACGCCGUAAACGAUGAGUGCUAGGUGUUAGAGGGUUUCCGCCCUUUAGUGCUGAAGUUAACGCAUUAAGCACUCCGCCUGGGGAGUACGGCCGCAAGGCUGAAACUCAAAGGAA